rnacentral:rRNA from 1 species
CUGGAAUCGCUAGUAAUCGCGGAUCAGAAUGCCGCGGUGAAUACGUUCCCGGGUCUUGUACACACCGCCCGUCACACCAUGGGAGUCGGAAAUGCCCGAAGUCUGUGACCCAACCUGAGGAGGGAGGGAGCAGCCGAAGGCAGGUCUGAUGACUGGGGUGAAGUCGUAACAAGGUAAC